rnacentral:rRNA from 1 species
CAUGGCUCAGGAUGAACGCUAGCGGAACGCCUAACACAUGCAAGUCGAACGGAUUCUGCGUUGUAGCAAUACAUAGUAGAAUUAGUGGCAAACGAGCGAGUAACGCGUGCCUAACCUGCCCUUAAGAUGGGAACAACUACGGAGACGUAGCUAAAUCCCAAUAUGCUCACGAUGGUGAAAUGCCGAUGCGAGGAAAGAUUUAUCGCUUAAGGAGGGGGGCGGCGUCCUAUCAGGUAGUUGGUUGAGGUAACGGCUCACCAAGCCUAUGACAGGUAGCUGGUCUGAGAUGAUGUCCACGCCGCGAGUGGGACUGAGAUACCGGCCCAUACUCCGUACGGGAGGCAGCAGGUGGGGAAUUCUUGCACAAGUGGAACGAAAGUCUGAAUGCAGCGACUCCCGCGUAGGAAGGAUGAAGCAGUUACGGUGUAGUAAACUUCUUUUUGGUGGAAGACGAAUGACGGUACACCAAGAAUAAGAGACGGCUAACUACGUGCCAGCCGCCGC